rnacentral:lncRNA from 1 species
UCUGGAUGAGAUGAAGAACCCAUUUCACAGGGGAUUCAUGUGCCAUGACCUGAACCCAUGACAGAAGAACUUCUUUCGCUAAACAUGGAGGUGAACUGGGAUGCCUCAGGAAGGGAAGGUGUGGACUACUGCUUGUUGA